GCUUGGGUGGCUCAGUCGGUUGAGGGUCCGACUUCAGCUCGGGUCAUGAUCUCAGAUCUCGCGGUUCGUGGGUUCAAGCCCCGCAUCGGGCU
rnacentral:tRNA from 1 species